GGGGUGUAACGUACCCUCUAGCCAUCGACGCGUACGGGUGUUGGGAGACAUAGCCCGGAGAUGGAUUCUGAGACACGAAUCCAGACCCUACGGGGUGCAGCAGGCGCGAAAACUUGGCAAUGCGAGAAAUCGUGACCAGGGAACUCCAAGUGGCUGGGGUAAGACCCAGUCUUUUCUUGACUCUUCAAAGGUCUUGGAAUAAGAGGUGGGUAAGGACGGUGCCAGCCGCCGCGGUAAUACCGGCGCCUCAAGUGGUAGUCGAUUUUAUUGGGCCUAAAACGUCCGUAGCCUGUUUGGUACAUUCGUGGGUAAAUCAACCAGCUCAACUGGUUGAAUUCUGCGAGCACGGCCAGACUUGGGACCGGGAGAGGUGUGGGGUACGCUCAGGGUAGGGGUAAAAUCCUGUCAUCCUGAGCGGACCACCUGUUGCGAAGGCGCCACACUAGAACGGAUCCGACGGUCAGGGACGAAGCCUAGGGGCACGAACCGGAUUAGAUACCCGGGUAGUCCUAGGUGUAAACGCUGUGGACUUGGUGUUGGGGAUGAUCCGAUCAUUCUCAGUGCCGAAGCGAAGGUGAUAAGUCCACUGCCUGGGGAGUACGGUCGCAAGGCUGAAACUUAAAGGAAUUGGCGGGGGAGCACCGCAACCUGAGGAUUGUGCGGUUUAAUUGGAUUCAACGCCGGAAAACUCACCAGUGCCGACGGACAGAUGAAAGCCAGUGUGAUGAGCUUGCUGGAUUGUUCGAGAGGUAGUGCAUGGCCGCCGUCAGUUCGUACCGUAAGGCGUUCUGUUAAGUCAGAUAACGAACGAGACCCUCAUCCCUAUUUGCUAAGGUUUCUCCCUUCGGGGCGAGAUCACAGGACUAUAGGGAGACCGCUGGCGAGAAGUCAGAGGAAGGUGAGGGCAACGGUAGGUCAGUAUGCUCCGAAUGCACUGGGCUACACGCGCAAUACAAAGGACGGGACAAUGGGUCGCUGCUCCGAGAGGAAAGAUGGCUAUCCCGAAACCCGUUCGUAGUUCGGAUUGAGGGCUGUAACUCGCCCUCAUGAAGCUGGAUUAGGUAGUAAUCGCGUCUCAAAAAGGCGCGGUGAAUAUGCCCCUGCUCCUUGCACACACCGCCC
rnacentral:rRNA from 1 species